rnacentral:rRNA from 1 species
AUGCUUGCUGACCGCCUGCCAAAGGAGCACUUGGGCAGUUUACCCAUGCCUGGAACAUCUAUCAUCGGAGUCGUCGUGUGGCGAAGACCCCAUGCCUCAUCUAGGGUACCCAGCAGGCAAGAUGGCUCCAAGAGGCAGGCCACAACUUCCAGUUUGCCCAUGACUUCCAAGCCAUCAUCUCGCUCUUCCAGUGCUUGUCAUCAACAUGCUGUAACCCCUGACGUUCCUCCAGGCUUUGGUUUUGGUUCUGGUGAUGUUAGGGAUGAUGAUCAUCUACCUGAAUACUACAUUUUUAUUAGCGUCUCAAACUCAUCUACCGCACACUUCUGUCCCGAUAGAAGACCGAGCGAGGGAAUUGGUUCGCAAGUACGGUGA